rnacentral:rRNA from 1 species
UACAGAGGUGGCAAGCGUUGUUCGGAAUUACUGGGCGUAAAGGGCGCGUAGGCGGUCCGAUAAGUCCUGUGUGAAAUCCCUCGGCUCAACUGAGGAACUGCACGGGAGACUGUCGGGCUUGAGUUCGGGAGAGGGAAGCGGAAUUCCCGGUGUAGCGGUGAAAUGCGUAGAUAUCGGGAGGAACAUCAGUGGCGAAGGCGGCCUUCUGGUCCAGUACUGACACUCAAGUGCGAAAGCGUGGGGAGCAAACAGG